AUUGAACGCUGGCGGCAGGCCUAACACAUGCAAGUCGAGCGGAUGAAGGGAGCUUGCUCCUGGAUUCAGCGGCGGACGGGUGAGGAAUGCCUAGGAAUCUGCCUGGUAGUGGGGGAUAACGUCCGGAAACGGGCGCUAAUACCGCAUACGUCCUGAGGGAGAAAGGGGGGGAUCUUCGGACCUCACGCUAUCAGAUGAGCCUAGGUCGGAUUAGCUAGUUGGUGGGGUAAAGGCCUACCAAGGCGACGAUCCGUAACUGGUCUGAGAGGAUGAUCAGUCACACUAGAACUGAGACACGGUCCAGCCUCCUACGGGAGGCAGCAGUGGGGAAUAUUAGACAAUGGGCGAAAGCCUGAUCCAGCCAUGCCGCGUGUGUGAAGAAGGUCUUCGGAUUGUAAAGCACUUUAAGUUGGGAGGAAGGGCAGUAAGUUAAUACCUUGCUGUUUUGACGUUACCAACAGAAUAAGCACCGGCUAACUUCGUG
rnacentral:rRNA from 1 species